GAGCUUCAGCAACACAUAUACUAAAAUUGGAAUCAUACAGAGAAGAUUACCAUGGCCCCUGUGCAAGGAUGACAUGCAAAUUUGUGAACCGUUCUAUAUUUUU
ensembl:snRNA U6 U6 spliceosomal RNA